rnacentral:lncRNA from 1 species
AUUAAGUUAAAUUUUAUUUUUUUAUUUUAUUGUGAUUGUAGAUGAUUUAAAAAUUAAUUUUUUUCAAAUAUAUAUAUAUAUAUAUAUAUAUAAACACUUAUGUUUAUAUUAAUUAAUUACAUCACGUGUAAUUAAUUAAUUCAUAAUUUGACUAUAUCUUUUUAAUAAUUUGAUUACUUUCCACGAAAGUCUUGCAUUAAUUGUUAGCCAACUAACCAAGUUAUUAAAAUUCAACAACAUAUAAUAUUAUACAAUUUUCUCGAUUUGAAAACACAAAUAGUUUGAGAGGAUGCAGCCUACUCCCUCACUUUUCAUGAUAAAGUAUAAAUAUCCAUACAUAUAUGCAUACGUUUUUUAUAUAGUUAAACACAGACACGUAUAUAUACAUGAUAUAAAAAAAAAAAUGUUUAAGAACUGAACAAUUUUUAAGAUUUUAAAUAAAUAUUCUCAUAUAUAUAUAUAUAUACGUAUAUAUAUACACCUGCAUGCGCCACAGAAGAUCAGCACUGGGCUUGCGGUAAAAUCGAUUGUUGUAAAAAUUUUGACGAGCUUGGUCGACCUCUUGUCGCUCUUGAGGCGUGCCAGCGUUAGGAUCGAACUCCCAUGUUUGUCUUCCCACGAAGUUGUUGACGCUAUACAAGUAGGGUUCUUUUUCACCCUUUGCAAUUUUCAACCUCCACAUCACUCUUCACCAAUACUAUAUAUAUAUAUAUAUAUAUAUAUGCAAAUACCAUACAAGGAUAGAUAGAUAUAUAUAUAUAUAUAACGUCAACAAGCAGAAAUUCUUUUAGAACUAUUUAUUUUCUGUACUAACUUGAAGACCAAUAAUUAAUUUGUGAGAUCCAAGAAAAGAUAUGUAGAUAUAUAUACUAUAUAUGUAGCUGGGACUUGGUCAUAAUAAUAUAUAUAUAUAUAUAUAGUAUGAAAAUAUUGAUGAAAGUUUUGGCACUAACAGAGGGAGGUUUGGUUAGAAGAUAAGAAGAGAGGUGAUGGGAAAAAAGAGCUCGUACAAGGCCAUUUAUAUGCCAUACUGCCUUCUAAUUACCUAAUUUUACAUUUUACCUUUAAAUAUAAUAUAUAAUUCAAUUAAUAACUAGUUUCAAAACCGCAUUUAAUAUAUUAAAACUAUUUGGUAUAUUUUAUUAAUGUUUAACACCUAACUUCUGGAUAUAAUUAUAAAGUGAUCUAAUAGAAGGGAAAAUUUUGCAUAUAUUGUGUUAAUAUAAGUUUCUAUAUAUAAAUUGUUAGUAUAUAUUUAAAGUAUGUUUAGAGAGUACACCAACUUAUAUUCUUGGAAUAUCUUAUAAUUAAUCCAAACAUAAUCUUUAACAUCGUGCCUAAUAAACUUUGUAGCAUGCACAACACUUAACCUAUUUGGUUGCUAAUUCCAAUUUUAUUUUGAUUUUAUAAAUUUUUUUAUUUCGUUUGUAACACUUGGGUCCGAAAUUUUGGUCCGGGAUGAUUUUUUUAUUUACAAAAUUUAUAUAUAAAUAGUUAAAAAUUUUAUUGUAGUUUAAAUGUUAUUAAAUUUUUGAGAAAAAAUGAAUUAGAGACGAAAUUAAAAGCAAAUUUAGAGAAAAUGAGUGAAAUUGAGAAUAAGAUGGGUGUUUUUGAAAGAAAAAUUGAAAACAUAUGGUAAAAUCGUAAAAUGAGAUGGUUCAGUCAGCAGUCACGACGAACCAGGACACGUCGUGUGACAAACACGCUGACAUCGGCACCACGCGAGAGGUCACGCAAGUGAUCCACGUGCCUGGUAAUCUGACAGUUCAGAUCACAUCCCCCACUCAUGGACGACCCAUAUGGAUUUUUUUUAGGUGCGAUCAGACUAAUGGGGUUGAUUGCGAUGGACAGUCCAGAUUCGUCCAUGCUAUCAGCAUAAACGAGAAAUCAUCGAAUGACCCUCCUCGCUCCACGUUGACUCAAACAAGUGGCCUGGAUCAAAUGGAGAGGAGUAUUUAAACUCCUUUUUGCAAGAAAUUAAAACUCUAGCCGACAAAGGGGUGACCGGAGAAGAAGAAAAAGGGCGAUCGGGAAAAGAACCAGAUGCUAGAGAAGGAGGUCGACCACCAUCACCGCUACACUAGAGCCACUACCGACUGCUGAAAAAAGUAAACAUUUUUCAUUUCCACUCGAAAUUCGAUCCCGAGUCUCCCUAUACCUAAAUCGGAGCCAAAUGGUAGAUGGGUGAGCCAGAAACUGCGGGAAAAGCUCGACCGAGCCGUAGCGGCCAAAACCAAAAACCUUCUUUGAUGCCCCCUUCCUGUUUCCUAUUUAACGUGAUUUUGUGACCACCAUGUUCACCGUUCUUUUCUGGUACAGGCUAGUAAAAAAAGAACCUCACCCGCGAAGCAGAAUAGACAGAGUCACCGCACUCGAUGACCCUUGUCAAUAAGUUUCAAUUUUUUUUAGCCUUUUUCGGUCAACUGAGACUUCCUAUCACAUUUUUCUGCAGGUUUACGCGUAAAACAUGCCAAAAUCAGUCUAAACUGACUGAAACCGACUAGGCCGAGGUGAACCACCAUCGUGGGCAGUGGCGCUGGCACUAGAGUACGACAGCAGCACUGUGCCAAAACCCUAGAAUUUGCCAAAAAAAAUUUAAAACACCUAUUCUAGCCUUUCGGGGUAUUUUUAAAUACUUGACGGUGUUUUAAUUUUCACAGAAAAAUUUAAAAAUUCAGGAUUACCAGAAGUACAUAACAGUACUGUAUUUCNNNNNNNNNNNNNNNNNNNNNNNNNNNNNNNNNNNNNNNNNNNNNNNNNNNNNNNNNNNNNNNNNNNNNNNNNNNNNNNNNNNNNNNNNNNNNNNNNNNNNNNNNNNNNNNNNNNNNNNNNNNNUGAUAAUAUUGUGUUUUUAUAAAAAUUAAAAAUUUCUAAAAAUAAUUACAAAUCACUAAUGGAGCCAAAAUCGGUCAGUGUAUAGUUUAUCUGUGUUGUACAUUUAUUUAUGUAUUAUCUUGAUUGCUUAAAGUUAUAUCGGAUAUUUUAAUUUAUUGAUUUUAAUUACCUUUUAAUUAUUAGUUCAUAUAACUGUUUUAUCUUUAUCUGUUGAUUGAUCUAAAAUAAAUGUUAUAAUUGUAUUUUCUUAAUUUACAUGUUAUCUAUUUGCAUGAUUUAUGGUCAAUCGGUAAAAAUAAUAUAUGGGUAUGUGAUAUGUGAUUGGUUGAUGAUGUGGAUAUAUCUAUGAAAGGUUUAUUGGUUACCUUGGGGAAGGAUGUACAGAUCCGGUGCAUAGGAAAAAUCCUACUGUAGACAUUAUUUCAGUCUUACGGAGUUAAGAAGUCUCAUACCGGAAGGGAUUGAGAGGUAUAGUUUACCCUCAUACCGGACGAGAUAUUGAGACGGUGGUAUGUUUGGUGCCCAUUACCGGACGGGGUAUGGAAACAACCAGUUAAAUGAUAGAUUGGAUAUUAGGUCCACACAUAGAGGGGAUCCCUAUGGACCCAAGAGGUACCAGUAAGUAGGUAAGAAGGUAUGUUAUUCUUAUUGUUCAUUUAAAUGUGAAAUGAAAUGUUAUCAUGGUUAUUGUCUUUAUAAGUUGACUUUGAAAAACUUGUAACGGUAAGGAUGGAAUAAACAAUUUUAUUUAUGUUAAAUGAAUUUACUUAAAUUAAAGGCUUUAUUAGUUAUUUUAUUUUAUUUUAUUUUUACCAACUUUCUAUUUCCGUAUCAGUUAUUAGUGUUAUAUUCUUAUUGGGGUAGUAUAGCUCACCCUCCUAUUAACCAUUUCAGAUUAAGAAGAUCAAUAUCUAAAUCCUAAUUAGUAAGAGGGUUAUGAGUAGGUUUUCUCCCGAACCCCAUCAAGUACUAGUGGAGGUUAACCCCGUAGGGCCUUUAUUUACUAUUUUUAGUUAUUUAUUUUGUUUCUUUUUACUAACUGAUGAAAAAGGGACAUUCUUGUAUCCAUAUUGGGCAUCCUAAAUUACUGUGUAAGGAAUGUAAAUCCUAACAUUAUUAUUUGUUUUCCCAUUUAAAGUAUGAAUUCAUUUCCUUUAACUUUUGACGUUUACAGUUGGUAUCAGAAUCGCAUUCAUCGAAAUCACUAAUUACACAAAGAUUUAAAAAUACAAAAAUACAACCUGUUGCUCAACCCGUUCUUGUGAAAUGCAGGUACAAGAAUAUGAGUAAAGGAAGACCCCCACUAAACCGAGUAGCCUGGGAUGGGUCACUUCAAAAUGAUGUCGAUCGACUCUUUGAGAUACUGGAGAAACUUAUCUCCUCCCAGCAGGACCAGAAAGAAAGGAGAGAGCUGUCUGACCCUCCACUCCUGCCACAGUUUGAGCCAUCCCUGUAACAAGAAGAUUUAGUGCUACCCCAAUACACCCUGUUUUUCUACCAUAUCAUUCGGUACCACCAGAGUACAAUCAAGUGCCCCUAUCAUACAACUAGGUACCACCAUAGGGUCGUUCAGCUCAUCCCCAACAUAAUCCAGUCCCUCUUCCACGAGAUAUAGUUCUACUCAUGAUGGACCCAAGUUACAUUGGGAGGUAUAAGAGAAUAAAUUCAUCAACCUUUCCAGGGGUGUCUUCCUUCGAGGAGGCUGAGUAUUAGUUAGCAGAGACAGAGAACGUCUUCGCAACUCUUAGAUUGGUUCUCAAAUAGACGGUUGUACUUACCAUCUACAUACGCGUGGGUAAAGCAAGUCACUGGUGGCAGUUGAAGUAUACCACCCUACCCAGUCGAGUCACUUGGGAACAGUUCCUGGUAGCCUUCAAUGCAAAGUAUCUUCCAAAGCAUCUUCGACAUUUGAAGAAAAUAGAGUUUGCACACCUAAUUC